UCUGGUGGGUAUAGCGGAGGGGCCACACCCGUUCCCAUCCCGAACACGGCCGUUAAGCCCUCCAGCGCCGAUGGUACUCGGGGCGAAAGCCCCCGGGAGAGUAGGUCCCCACCAGGA
rnacentral:rRNA from 1 species